CAGAGACUGCAAGCGUUACUCGGAUUCACUGGGCGUAAAGGGAGCGCAGGCGGAAUCGUGUGUCGGAUGUGAAACCCGGGGGCUCAACUCCCGGACUGCGUCUGAAACUGCGAUUCUAGGGACUCGGAGGGGCUAGUGGAAUUCUUGGUGGAGCAGUGAAAUGCGUAGAUAUCAAGAGGAACACCAACGGCGAAGGCAGCUAGCUGGACGAGAUCCGACGCUCAGGCUCGAAAGUAUGGGGAGCAAAAAGGAUUAGAUACCCUUGUAGUCCAUACUGUAAACGAUCUCGACUAGGUCUUGGGGCAUUCGAACGCCCCAGGGCUCAAGCUAACGCAAUAAGUCGACCGCCUGAGGACUACGGUCGCAAGACUA
rnacentral:rRNA from 1 species